AUGGUGGCCGCGGGGCUCGAGACGAAGGGCGCAGGCGGAUGGGUGACCGUCGCGUCCCAGCCCCUUCGCCAAGUUCCGCCCCGCCCCAUGGCAUGGACUGGCGACCACUCGCAGCGGCCGGCUGAGGUCUUCACUGUGAUUCAUGCGACGCCGGCCAUGCAUCAGGAGGCUGUGCUCCUCGGCUCCAACGCCGUCGUUGCAUGGCUCGACCGCGACAUCAGGGCCAGUCCGCAAGACAUCGCCGCCGCCAUCGUCCAGGAGAUGGGCAUGCUAGCGGAGGACGUCUCCGUCGUCAGACACUUCCCCGAGGCCUACCUGGUGCGGUUCUCCCACCAGCAUCACUGUGCGGACGCGGCCGGGCGCCGUGACCUGAAGUUCCGCGACACUAGGCUGCAGAUGCGCUCUUGGCGCCUCGAGGCGCACUCGAAGAACGUGGACCUCGUCCACCACGUCCGGCUCUGUUUGGACGGACUCCCGCUGCAGGCGUGGGAUGAGUUCGCCGUAGCGCAGGCCAUCGGCCCCGAAUGCUCCAUCGACUACAUUGAAGCUGCGUCCAAGCUCAAGACUGACACCGAGGUGCUUGGGGUGUGGGCAUGGACGGCGUCACCGGCAAACGUCCCGCGAGUAAACUGGGUGACUCUGCCAGCGCGCGCUGGUGGUCAGCCGGCCUUUCGUCGACGCGGACUGGAGCGGCGGGUAAUCAUCCAUCUCUCCAUCCAUGAAGACCCCACGCAAGGCCCAAGGAUUGUAUCCAAGGGGUACACUUUCCAGAAGGGUGUCGUUGACGGCGAGAGGCAGGCCCGCGAUCCACACGAGCGUAUCUCUCGCCCCGUUGACAACAACAGGCGCGACAGAGACGACGACCCAGGGCGUGGACGGGAUGACAGGGACCGCCGCGGAAGAGACAACUCGCGGCACCGGGAGGGCUGGGGAGACCGCUUCCGACGCAGUCUCUCCCGUCAGCCGAGGGAUGCAUCACGCGACCAGGGACGCGCUGAUGGGCGCGGUGGCCGCAGGGACGCUGGCGGCCGUGAUGGUCGUCGCCGCUCGGCCGAGCCGGCUGGGCUGGCCACGGCGACAACGGUUCUUCUCGGCUCCGGCUCUGCAAGCGGGGAGGAGGCCCGUGUCCUUGAGUCGCUGCCGGUGCAGGCCCCGCCGUUGGCUUCUAGGCGUGGCCGCAGCCCGGCGUGCCACCCCUCGCCUCGCUCUGCUCGCCGGCGCUCUCAGGAAAGCCUCACGCCGCCAGUUUCGCCUCCUCUGUCUCCCACAACUGUGCUACCUCCAUCGCCACGUUCCAACAGAGGCGAGGCCCGGCCUUCUCCGACCUCGCUGGCUGCCCCAAGCCAGGAGCUGCUCCACCUCUGCUCACCACUCAGGCUCCAAGCGCCUCUGACCUCGCCGGCCAAGCCGCCGGGUUUUGAAGCCUCACCAACGCCACCUUUGGUCUCCAGCGGGCCUCUACGACGCACGCCAUCGCCGCGACGGCUGUGUGGGCCUGCUACUGCAGGUGCCGUGGGCUUACAAUGCCUCGCACCGCUCUUCGAGGAUCGCCAGGAUGCAAUCUUGCCAUCACCUACUUCAACUCCACCUAAGGCACCGGCUGCUCGUCGGAAAACCCUGGCUGGGGUCACCAUUUCCAAGUCUGGUGGCUUAUUCUCGAUCCACAAGACACGCACUUCAGGGUGUGCCAAGGCGGCGCCGGCUGCCAAGGCGGCAGAGCUGCUCCUGUGCCGCAGCUUGGGUAUUGUCAAAGAUGGUGAAGAUGUCACUGCAGCUGCACUCGAUGCCUUCGUGGACCGCUUCAAGGAGCAGUUGCCACCUGAUGUGAUUGCUGCUAUGCGCGGAUUGUUCAAGCUUGAUGAUGGAGAUGCAACAGAUGUCGAGGAGGCACUCAUUGCGCAUGGAGGAGGAGGCGCCCUCAACCUGGAGAGGACUGAUGAGGGCGCCGCUGUCCAGCAGGCGUCCUUUUGA
rnacentral:rRNA from 1 species